rnacentral:rRNA from 1 species
GACGAACGCUGGCGGCGCGCCUAACACAUGCAAGUCGAACGGAGCUGCGAGAAGCUUGCUUUUCUUAGCUUAGUGGCGCACGGGUGAGUAACGCGUGAGUAACCUGCCCUGGAGUGGGGGACAACAGUUGGAAACGACUGCUAAUACCGCAUAAGCUCAUGAUCCGGCAUCGGAUUUAGGGAAAAGGAUUUAUUCGCUUCAGGAUGGACUCUUGUCCAAUUAGCUAGUUGGUGAGGUAACGGCCCACCAAGGCGACGAUUGGUAGCCGGACUGAGAGGCUGAACGGACACAAUGGGACUGAGACACGGCCCAGAAUCCUACGGGAGGCAGGAGUGGGGGAUAUAGCACAAUGGGGGAAACGCUGAUGCAGCGACGCGGGGUAGAGGAAGAAGGUGGUCGGAAUGUAAAGUCCUGUCGUAAGGGACGAGAAUGACGGUACCUAACAAGAAAGCACCGGCUAACUACGUG